UGCGAGUCGACGGUAGCACAGAGAGCUUGCUCUCGGGUGACGAGUGGCGGACGGGUGAGUAAUGUCUGGGAAACUGCUGAUGGAGGGGGAUAACUACUGGAAACGGUAGCUAAUACCGCAUAACGUCGCAAGACCAAAGAGGGGGACCUUCGGGCCUCUUGCCAUCAGAUGUGCCCAGAUGGGAUUAGCUAGUAGGUGGGGUAACGGCUCACCUAGGCGACGAUCCCUAGCUGGUCUGAGAGGAUGACCAGCCACACUGGAACUGAGACACGGUCCAGACUCCUACGGGAGGCAGCAGUGGGGAAUAUUGCACAAUGGGCGCAAGCCUGAUGCAGCCAUGCCGCGUGUAUGAAGAAGGCCUUCGGGUUGUAAAGUACUUUCAGCGGGGAGGAAGUGUGUGGUUAAUAACCACAGCAAUUGACGUUACCCGCAGAAGAAGCACCGGCUAACUCCGUGCCAGCAGCCGCGGUAAUACGGAGGGUGCAAGCGUUAAUCGGAAUUACUGGGCGUAAAGCGCACGCAGGCGGUCUGUCAAGUCGGAUGUGAAAUCCCCGGGCUCAACCUGGGAACUGCAUUCGAAACUGGCAGGCUGGAGUCUUGUAGAGGGGGGUAGAAUUCCAGGUGUAGCGGUGAAAUGCGUAGAGAUCUGGAGGAAUACCGGUGGCGAAGGCGGCCCCCUGGACAAAGACUGACGCUCAGGUGCGAAAGCGUGGGGAGCAAACAGGAUUAGAUACCCUGGUAGUCCACGCCGUAAACGAUGUCGAUUUGGAGGUUGUGCCCUUGAGGCGUGGCUUCCGGAGCUAACGCGUUAAAUCGACCGCCUGGGGAGUACGGCCGCAAGGUUAAAACUCAAAUGAAUUGACGGGGGCCCGCACAAGCGGUGGAGCAUGUGGUUUAAUUCGAUGCAACGCGAAGAACCUUACCUGGUCUUGACAUCCACAGAACUUUCCAGAGAUGGAUUGGUGCCUUCGGGAACUGUGAGACAGGUGCUGCAUGGCUGUCGUCAGCUCGUGUUGUGAAAUGUUGGGUUAAGUCCCGCAACGAGCGCAACCCUUAUCCUUUGUUGCCAGCGGUUAGGCCGGGAACUCAAAGGAGACUGCCAGUGAUAAACUGGAGGAAGGUGGGGAUGACGUCAAGUCAUCAUGGCCCUUACGACCAGGGCUACACACGUGCUACAAUGGCGCAUACAAAGAGAAGCGACCUCGCGAGAGCAAGCGGACCUCAUAAAGUGCGUCGUAGUCCGGAUUGGAGUCUGCAACUCGACUCCAUGAAGUCGGAAUCGCUAGUAAUCGUAGAUCAGAAUGCUACGGUGAAUACGUUCCCGGGCCUUGUACACACCGCCCGUCACACCAUGGGAGUGGGUUGCAAAAGAAGUAGGUAGCUUAACCUUCGGGAGGGCGCUACCA
rnacentral:rRNA from 1 species